AUGUGGUCAUUAAGCGAAACUUGACUUUCCCCCGUUGAUUGUGUUUGUGGAAGCGGGCCGCGAAGCUCACAAAUGGUGACCACGGGGCGCUGCAAUUGGUUGUAAGUGCGAAAUGCUGCCCCUUUUUCCAGCACCAUCAUUAAUUCUGGACCAUUGGCUACACAGUCGUAAGGAUGCCUGUAAGCCAACAGUAUGAUUUGGGUGCAAAGCCAUUUUCUAGAUGCAUAAACAAUAAGGUGAGAAAUUAAGUUGUGCACUUUAGCCCCGGGAAAGAAUACGAGGGUGUUAAGAACGAACAAUUCUCACAUGAAGCUGGAAAAAAGAGAGACCGGUGGGGGGGAGGAACCAAAAACACAAGGGGCAGAUCUGACUAGACAAAACGAGAAAGAUUUCUAUACUUUUGAGAGGCACCAUGGAAAGGGCUGUCUGUACCAGCAGGAGGCAUCUGGGGGAAUUAACGUGACUUAAGAUCCUCCUUUUGAGGCAGGUUCAGGCAGGUGGAAGGUGGAAUGAGCUCAAAUUCAUGCUUCAAAACAAAAGAAAAAAGAGAGAAAAACAGGUCAGGGCCUUGAGCUGGCGCAGGUUUUUCUAUCCGGACGGUUGGAAUCAGAAUCACGAAGGCCAGUCCCUGACGGCCUGGAGGACUAUCCGGAGCCUCCGAUCCAUCGCUUCGAGGUGCAGUUUGUACAAGAUGGGGGCGAUUUUAUCCUCCAGCAAGGAUUCUUCCAUCAGCUGGCUCAGCUUGUACUCCUCUUUGGCCAGGAGCUGUAAACGCAGGAACGUCGCCAUGGGUUCCUCCAGGUUUUCCGUUUGGCUAAAGACAAGUCGGGCAAGAAGGCAGCCAUGGAGCCUUCGAUCUGGUCCGGUUUGCCACAAAGGGCGUGUUCUGUCGAACAGUAGUAGGAGCACUCU